CGGCGCUGACUCAGCAGAUCCGGGGGGAAAGGGAAAAAAAUGGAAGAAAAAUGGGGAUAAAAUGGGGAAAAAACAGGAAAAAAUGGUGAAAAAUGGGAGAAAAGUGGGAAAAAACUGGGAUGAAAGUGUGGAAAGUUGGGAAUUCUCGUUUCCGGUUUUCCAGGCGGCGCUGACUCAGCAGAUCCUGGGGGGAAAGGGCAAAAAUGGCAGAAAAAUGGGGAUAAAAUGGGGAAAAAAACAGGAAAAAAUGGUGAAAAAUGGGAUUAAAAAUGGAAAAAAAAAACUGGGAAAAAUGUGGGAUAAAAGUGUGGAAAGUUGGGAAUUCUCCUUCCUGAUUUUCCAGGCGGCGCUGACUCAGCAGAUCCGGGGGGAAAGGGCAAAAAUGGGAGAAAAAUGGGGAUAAAAUGGGGAAAAAAACAGGAAAAAAUGGUGAAAAAUGGGAUUAAAAAUGGGAUAAAAGUGGGAUAGAAGUGAGUAAAGUUGGGAAUUGUCGUUCCCGGUGUUCCAGGCGGCGCUGACUCAGCUGAUCCAGGUCUAUCACCGCUUCCAGAAGGUUCUGGAGCAGCCGCCCCUGCGGGCGCUGCCGGCGCGCGCCGACCUCAUCAACAUCCACCACCUGAUGGUGGAGCUGAAGAAGCACAAACCCAACUUCUAGGCAGCCCCAAAAUCCCGGGAAUUCACCCCAAAAAUCCCGGGAAUUCUGCCCAAAAACCCUGGGAUUCCUCCCCCCAAAAUCCCGGGAAUUCUGCCCAAAAACCCUGGGAUUCCUCCCCCAAAAAUCCCGGGAAUUCUGCCCAAAAACCCUGGGAUUCCUCCCCCAAAAAUCGCAUGACUUCACGCCAAAAUCCUGGGAAUUCCUCCCCAAAAAUCCUGGGAAUUCUGCCCAAAAUAUCCCAAGAAUUCACCCCAAAAAUCCUGGGAAUUCUCCCCCAGAAAUCCCAGGAAUUCCUCCCCAAAAUCCCAGAAAUUCUGCCCAAAAAUCCUGGGAUUCCUCCCCCCAAAAUCUCAGGAAUUCUGCCCAAAAAAUCCCAGGAAUUCACCCUCCAGAAUCCUGGGAAUUCACCUCAAAAAUCGUGGGAAUCCUUCCCAAAAAUCCUGGGAAUUCUGCCCAAAAAUCCCAGGAAUAUGCCCCAAAAAAACCUGGAUUAUGCCCCAGAAAUCCUGGGAAUUUCCCCCAAAAAUCCCAGGACUUUUUUCCAAAAAUCCCAGGAAUUUUCCCCAGAAGUCCCGGGAAUCCUCCCCAAAUCCCAAAUUCCCGAUUUCCCCUCCGAAAUUCCCGAUUU
rnacentral:lncRNA from 1 species